ACUGAAACAUCAGUUACCGUAUGAUCACCAAAGUUAAGCAACAUCAAGCCUGGUAAGUACCUAGAGAGGUGACCACAUGGGAAUACCAGGUGUUGUAAG